GAUGAACGCUGGCGGCGUGCCUAAUACAUGCAAGUCGAGCGAACGGACGAGAAGCUUGCUUCUCUGAUGUUAGCGGCGGACGGGUGAGUAACACGUGGAUAACCUACCUAUAAGACUGGGAUAACUUCGGGAAACCGUAGCUAAUACCGGAUAAUAUUUUGAACCGCAUGGUUCAAAAGUGAAAGACGGUCUUGCUGUCACUUAUAGAUGGAUCCGCGCUGCAUUAGCUAGUUGGUAAGGUAACGGCUUACCAAGGCAACGAUGCAUAGCCGACCUGAGAGGGGGUGAGCCCACACGGGAGCGGAGACACGCCCGAGCCCCCUACGGGGGGAGCCAGAGGGGAGUCUUCCGCAAGGGGGGAAACCCGGACGGCGCACCCCCGCGGGAGUAAGAAAGGUGUUGGGAUCUUAAAACUUUUUUAUGGGGAAAAAAAAUUGUGUAAAGAAACGGGCCACAUCUGGACGGUCCCUAAUAAAAAACCCCCGCCAAACUCCGUC
rnacentral:rRNA from 1 species